rnacentral:lncRNA from 1 species
CUCGUGGUAUCCUUAGGGCUGGAUCAAGAAAAUUGGAGGCCUGAGGCGAGAAAUUAACGAAGUUUAUAUGUACACAUUGGCAUGGGACGAUCCACGGGGUUCUGGGGGGAGCUCCAGCACCCCCUACCAUUUUUUUNUCCUUCCACCUUAUAUUUAGUAUUUUUUUGAAAAUUUUCAUUUUCAUCACUCCUGUCGCUGGAAAUCCACCUUAUAUUUAGUAUUUUUUUGAAAAUUUUCAUUUUCAUCACUCCUGUCGCUGGAAAUUUUAGAUUUGAGCUCCCUCGAAUCAUUUUUAGUUCUAGGCCUUACAUGUGAUUGUGCAAUUAUUUUUACUAUUGUUAUAAACUAGAGAGAA